rnacentral:rRNA from 1 species
GACGAACGCUGGCGGCGUGCUUAACACAUGCAAGUCGAACGGAAAGGCGCUGCUUUUGUGGGGUUCUCGAGUGGCGAACGGGUGAGUAACACGUGAGUAACCUGCCCUUGACUUUGUGAUAACUUCAGGAAACUGGGGCUAAUACCGCGUAGGAGCUCCUGCUGCAUGUUGGUGGUUGGAAAGUUUCGGCGGUUGGGGAUGGACUCGCGGCUUAUCAGCUUGUUGGUGGGGUAGUGGCUUACCAAGGUUUUGACGGGUAGCCGGCCUGAGAGGGUGACCGGGCACAUUGGGCCUGAGGUACGGACCAGAAUCCUACGGUAGGCAGUAGUGGGGAAUAUUGCACAAUGGGCGGAAGCCUGAUGCAGCAACGCCGCGUGCGGGAUGACGGCCUUCGGGUUAUAAACCGCUUUCGCAUGUGACGAAGCGUGAGUGACGGUAAUGGGUAAAGAAGCACCGGCUAACUACGUG